rnacentral:rRNA from 1 species
CUACGGGAGGCACCAGUGAGGAAUAUUGCACAAUGGGGGGAACCCUGAUGCAGCAACGCCGCGUGGAGGAUGACGCAUUUCGGUGUGUAAACUCCUUUUAUAUGUCAAGAAAAUGACGGUAGCAUAUGAAUAAGCACCGGCUAACUCCGUGCCAGCAGCCGCGGUAAUACGGAGGGUGCAAGCGUUACUCGGAAUCACUGGGCGUAAAGGACGCGUAGGCGGGUUGGAAAGUCAGGUGUGAAAGCCUACAGCUUAACUGUAGAACUGCACUUGAAACUUCUAAUCUAGAGUAUGGGAGGGGGAGGUGGAAUUAGUGGUGUAGGGGUAAAAUCCGUAGAUAUCACUAGGAAUACCUAAAGCGAAGGCGAUCUCCUGGAACAUUACUGACGCUAAGGCGUGAAAGCGUGGGGAGCAAACAGGAUUAGAUACCCGGGUAGUC